UACGUAGGGGGCAAGCGUUGUCCGGAAUUAUUGGGCGUAAAGCGCGCGCAGGCGGUUCUUUAAGUCUGGUGUCUAAGUGCGGGGCUCAACCCCGUGUCGCACUGGAAACUGGGGAACUUGAGUGCAGAAGAGGAGAGCGGAAUUCCACGUGUAGCGGUGAAAUGCGUAGAGAUGUGGAGGAACACCAGUGGCGAAGGCGGCUCUCUGGACUGUAACUGACGCUGAGGCGCGAAAGCUAGGGGAGCAAACGGGG
rnacentral:rRNA from 1 species